rnacentral:lncRNA from 13 species
GUCAGAGGUUAUGGUUUUGACAUUUAGACACAAAACAGAUGGCAUGCACUUUAAAUCAAGCUAGCACCACAUCGUUCUAGAAUCUGGCAACAAAGAAUUUCAUCCCAGCACUUCUCUGUAAGAAAUAGAACACAAAACAGACAGAAACUUACUCUCUUUUCCUAAGCAUACACUCCAUUACAGAGACAUUCUCAUCAAGGGAAGAAAGAUCUCAAAGCCAGAUCAGGGAUCUCUGGAAGAGGCAUGUGACAAGCCUGAGAACUGAAUUUACUACCACCAAGCUGCAUUUCCCAGGCUCCCCUGUCAGCUAGUUUUCUGAGUGGAUUAAGCCAAUGAAGGGUAAUGGCAGAAGACUGGAAAGUCGAGGAAGACAGAAGCUGAGUAUGGCUGAGUGGAGCCACCCAGGUCUGUCUGGCUGCGUGACCUUGAACAUAUUCUACCCUUUUGGACUUCCAUUUUCUGAUUUCACAUCCCAACAGACUAAUGUCCUGAAGAGCACCUUUUGAGAAACUUUGGCCUACGUGAUGCUCUGAGAGUUUUCCUUCAUUGGAAUAAGGUAAUAAGCAGGGUCUUGCCACAGUAGCUGUGCAACAGCAGGGA